AGGUUUGGCCGAAUGCGACCCCAGCCUCAGUCGGGCGGUGGGGAUGUGUGGCAGGGGUGUUGCAGUGGGCUCAAGGGGCUGUGCCAGGAAGGCUAUGAUGAUGGCUAUGAGAUGAUUGUGUUUACAAGGUCUCCUUCCUUUUAGUGACCCUGGACCUGAGACAAGAGAGUGUGGAGUGUGGAGUAAUCUGGAAAGCUGGCUGCCAGGAAAAGACCACGGUUCUAGACCACAAAGGAACAUUUCUGUGCUCUAAAUAAAAGAAACCAGAUAGUCACACGAACACUCUAUGUCUUGAAAACAAGUUUUAACAAAGUCCUGGAGACGUGCCCAAUGCUGGAGGACCUCCUGCUUUACCCCUGACUCAGAUAAACUCAUCUCUGACACACACACACACACAUGCUGAAUUCACAUCUUGCCAUUAAAUGUGAUACAGUAACCAACUUUUUCUUUCAGAAAAAAAGAAAAUUGAGAGAUUCACAGUUCUGUUUGCAUCAGUCUAUCAGAUGAAUCCCCUCCAAGUCCAAUAUUUACAUCAGUUACAGUGAUAAUGCUUGGUGUAUACUUUCAGCCACAGCAGUAGAAAGUCAGGAAUGAAUCUCACUGAAAUUGUAGCUGCAUUUGCUAUUUAAUUUAAUUGGAAUAAAUACAGUUUACAGAUCCUUUAAAAAAUCUGUUAUAUUUGAUCUCAGAUAGCCACUACACACACUCUGUUUUUAUCCCUUUAUCUUUCACUGGUCUGUCGUUUGAUAUAACAAGAAAGUUAAUAUCAUGGCUGCUCUGGCAGAUGUGUGGAGUGAAGAGAGAUAGGAGCCAAAUGCAGAGGCUGACGAGGACUUAAACUAAAAAUGUGCCUUUUAUUGAGGCAGCACAAAACUACAAACAAAAAUGCAGGAAUAUAAAGACUAAAGUAACAAAAACUAAACGGGGAGGGAACUAGAAACAAAUAUAAAGAAACUAAAGAUCUGAGACGUGGAACACAACAAAUGAUAACCUGGAACAAGAGACAUGUCAUGGAUGAUACACAGACAACCCAGCAGCAAACAGAGGAAGACAAUGGGCUUAAAUACACAGAGGGAUAAAUGAGGGAAUAAGACACAGGAGGAGAGCACAGCUGGGAGAAAUCACAAACAACGAGACCAGUGGGAGGAAAACUGAAAACACUAACAUAGCACAAGAGACUAUCAAAGUAAAACAGCAAACAAGAGACGACAUUUACAAAGACACAGAGUUGACAUUGAUACUUGACUGACUGGGAAGAAA